CAUAUGGAUUGUGUCAGCAGCCGCGCGGUAAUACGGGAGUGGCAAGCGUUAUCCGGAAUUAUUGGGCGUAAAGCGUCCGCAGGCGGCCCUUUCAAGUCUGCUGUUAAAAAGUGGAGCUUAACUCCAUCAUGGCAGUGGAAACUGUUGGGCUUGAGUGUGGUAGGGGCAGAGGGAAUUCCCGGUGUAGCGGUGAAAUGCGUAGAUAUCGGGAAGAACACCAGUGGCGAAGGCGCUCUGCUGGGCCAUCACUGACGCUCAUGGACGAAAGCCAGGGGAGCGAAAGGGAUUAGAUACCCCUGUAGUCCUGGCCGUAAACGAUGAACACUAGGUGUCGGGGGAAUCGACCCCCUCGGUGUCGUAGCCAACGCGUUAAGUGUUCCGCCUGGGGAGUACGCACGCAAGUGUGAAACUCAAAGGAAUUGACGGGGGCCCGCACAAGCGGUGGAGUAUGUGGUUUAAUUCGAUGCAACGCGAAGAACCUUACCAGGGUUUGACAUCCUGCGAAUCUCUUGGAAACAGGAGAGUGCCUUCGGGAACGCAGUGACAGGUGGUGCAUGGCUGUCGUCAGCUCGUGUCGUGAGAUGUUGGGUUAAGUCCCGCAACGAGCGCAACCCACGUCUUUAGUUGCCAGCAUUUAGUUGGGCACUCUAGAGAGACUGCCGGUGAUAAACCGGAGGAAGGUGUGGAUGACGUCAAGUCAUCAUGCCCCUUACAUCCUGGGCUACACACGUACUACAAUGCUACGGACAAAGGGCAGCAAGUUCGCGAGGACAAGCAAAUCCCAUAAACCGUGGCUCAGUUCAGAUCGUAGGCUGCAACUCGCCUACGUGAAGGCGGAAUCGCUAGUAAUCGCAGGUCAGCAUACUGCGGUGAAUACGUUCCCGGGCCUUGUACACACCGCCCGUCA
rnacentral:rRNA from 1 species